AGAACUGCUGUAUUCUGCAACCUUCUUUGAAGUAUUUUCUUGCACAAGAGCUCCUCCAUUAUAACCAUUCAUCAGUAGCUUCCCUAUUUUUGAUCUCCAUUCCGAGAUGUCCUCAUUAUUCCGAUCGUGAACGACUCUGUCACGGUAGUUCAGCAUUGUACCCAAGCCACUAUUUGGCGUCCAUCCAUAGCUCAAUAAAACCCCUGCCUCACCUUCGGUCAAAUCUUCCCCAACCAAUAAUGGUCUGU
rnacentral:misc_RNA from 1 species